AGCGAACGCUGGCGGCAGGCCUAACACAUGCAAGUCGAACGGAUCCUUCGGGAUUAGUGGCGGACGGGUGAGUAACACGUGGGAACGUGCCCUUUGGUUCGGAACAACUCAGGGAAACUUGAGCUAAUACCGGAUGUGCCCUUCGGGGGAAAGAUCUAUCGCCAUUGGAGCGGCCCGCGUCUGAUUAGCCAGUUGGUGAGGUAAAGGCUCACCAAGGCGACGAUCAGUAGCUGGUCUGAGAGGAUGAUCAGCCACAUUGGGACUGAGACACGGCCCAAACUCCUACGGGAGGCAGCAGUGGGGAAUCUUGCGCAAUGGGCGAAAGCCUGACGCAGCCAUGCCGCGUGAAUGAUGAAGGUCUUAGGAUUGUAAAAUUCUUUCACCGGGGACGAUAAUGACGGUACCCGGAGAAGAAGCCCCGGCUAACUUCGUGCCAGCAGCCGCAGUAA
rnacentral:rRNA from 1 species